GCUGUGUGUAUCUGGGGGUACAGGAGCACUGUGUCUCGGGGGUGAAGGGGCUGUGUGUAUCUGGGGGUACAGGGGCACUGUGUCUCGGGGGGGGGUGAAGGGGCUGUGUGUAUCUGGGGGUACAGGGGCACUGUGUCUCAGGGGGGUGAAAGGGCUGUGUGUAUCUGGGGGUACAGGGGCACUGUGUCUCGGGGGGGGGUGAAGGGGCUGUGUGUAUCUGGGGGUACAGGGGCACUGUGUCUCUCGGGGGGUACAGGAGCAGUGUGUGUCUCUGGGGAGAUACAGGGUUCUAUGUGUAUCUGGGGGGGUGCAGGGGCGCUGUGUCUCUCUCUGAGGUGGGUGUAGGAGGUUCAGGGGUUGCUGCCUGUG